CGUAAAUAAUAAAUAUCAGAAUAAGUUAAUACAACCCGCACACGUGCGACUACCUCGACAUACCAGAACGUACAACCAAAUGAAAUAAACAAACCAAUGCAUGCAGCAGCGUAAACCAGGAAUAAAACGAACAACGAAUUAGCAGAUGAAAAUAAAUAAAUGACGCUAGUGAGCAAUAGAACCUAUAAAGAAUAAUUAUUAAAUGCGAGCAAAUAACAAAAGCCGCGAAUGAUACUUACAGAUGAAACGGUAACCAGAAGAUGAGCAAGAGAAAAAGGCAAUUUUAUAACAAAAACAGAAAAUGACUUAUGAGAUUGUUACAGCGCAAAGUCAGAACGAGAGAAAAACGAUGAUUUUACGAAAAGAAAUUAAACACGAAGAAUGUCAGUGUUGCCAACACUAUAAAAAUAAGAAAGAACAACAUUUGGCGACAAGACCACUGAAUAAUAGAAUUUAUCACACAUACACUGGGUGGUCAGCACACGACAGCUGUCACCAUCGUCAACCGUUCUCAGGGGGUAUCACUCUAUACGAAGGAUCAGAUAGUGUCUUACCAUGCGGCAUACCAACAUAAUGAAAAUAACGUACAAUAUGUAAGAAUUGUUAUCUUUUCUAUAAGUGGUGCACCUGUAGUACUGGCUAAUGUCCAUUUGAUGUAUUGGACUUUGGUAUUUGCCAAAUUUUGGUGACCAACGGAUAUUCGAUAUUCUCUUUCUCGUUUUUACAAUUGUAUGUUUUUUAUGCCACUGUAAUACGAUUUAAAUCGUUCCAUUUGUGUAUUUUACUUACGAUUGUAUAAUAAUAGUUAUAAUAGUUUCGUAUUUUAUAAUAUUAUUAUGCCUUCCAAACAAUGUGUUGUUGUUGGUUGUAAUACAUCAUAUGGUGAUACAAUAACACUUCGUCAUCGUUUCCCAAAAGAUAACUGACAUUUAACGCUUAGGUAGAAAUGUCUGGAAAUGUUUUAUUAUGUGUGACAAGCAUUUUGCGCCAAGCUGUGAUGUUCUGGAUUUAAGAAGCUCAUAACAAAAUAUUUUUCUACUUUGAAUUUACCAGUUGGUCCCACAAGUUGUUUACUUCCUAAACGAUUAUUUGAAAGCACAUUAAAAGAAAUAAAUUUUUCACCGAAAAACUAAAUUGAUACCUAGAAAAAGUUUAGUGUAUAAUGUGAUCAAGAGAUAUAAGCAAAGCAAUUUAGUUUUAAAACAACGUUAUGCUAGUGCUAAGAAACGCAUUCUAAAAGCUGAAAAUAUAUAAAUAGUAAUUACAAGCAACUGAAAAGACUAAAUUCAUUUACACUGAAUUUUAUGGAUUCACAAAUGCGUAUGCAACCACAAAAACCUUGAGGGAUCAUAGUGUCAUCGGCGAAACAAAAAAUAAAGCAGUCAGAAUCUAAAUAAAGAAGCUCAUUACAUAGUAUAUAAUUUAAACGAACCUGACGAUUUAUAAAAAUUAAUUGUUUUUAUUUUUAUAGAUAAA